UAUGAUUACAACAAGGCCGUGGUCCUUUAUGAUUACAACAAGGUCGUGGUCCUUCAUGACUAAGGGACCAUUCAGAAUAGGUGAUCCGAGUACUAACUGAUUAGUUAGUACUCAGAUCAUCUAUUUUGAAUGGCCCCUAAUACAGGUUAGACAUAGUCGAAAGUAACGGGGUUGGUAUAUGGAAUGACUAUCAUUGAAAAGUAGCUGGGAGAAGGACUGCCACUCCUGUCACAACGUUGUUUAAAUUUUUGAACGUAGAAAUAUUACGUAUGGUACACUGUGUUUUAGUUAAUAUUCUCUAGAAACCAAAUUAAUUCGAUCAAAGGGAUAAAUUAAUAGCUGGAUGCUGCUUAGCUUUGCUUGCACUAGUAUAAUGGUAGAUAUACUUUAGGGGCUCUGCAUAAUACUUGCCAAAUGGGUGAAUAUAGUCUCUAUUCUCAUACGUACCACUUUGUAUUUUGCAUUGUUAAAAUCCUGUUGGGUGUUAUGAUGAAUUUUCAAAGAAAACCAAUACUUCUUAAUAAAGAUUAUAGUUUAUUACAAAACUC